GCUUCCUGUAAAGCACAGGUGUCAAACUCGAGGGCCGAUGUCCUGAAAGUUUUCCAUGUGUCCCUGCGACACACCUGAUUAAAAUUAGUAGGUUAUUAGCAAGCCUUGACUGCAUGCUGAGUUGGAGACCCCUGAUUUAAAUAAAUGUGAGUUUUUGAAAAAUUGUACUUCUAAAAGUACUUUUAUUGCACCAUGUUCAUUUACUUAUGAGCUGCUUUAACAUGAAUCAAAUGGCUGAGGCUACGUCUACACUAGCCCGGAUAAAUUUGAAAACUGUUUGCGUCUGAAAACACUGCAUCCACACUGUUGUUUUCACAGAGUUGUGCGUCCACAUUGAAACGGCCGAAAACGCUUACGUUCUAGUACUGCGCAUGCGUGAAAUGCAAGACAAUUUGACCUACCUCAUUUCUGUCUGCUGUUUAUUUACUUUCCGGCUCUUUGAAACGUCACGGCAAAAUGUCAAGUUUUUUAAAUGGACUAACAAUGAGGUGGAGUUGUUGCUGCAAGUGACACAAAAGUACAAAGUUGCAAAAGCAAUUGAGAAUUAAAGAAUUGGAAGAAAAGCUAUCUGGAGCAUGUACAAACUGAUAUUAAUCUUUAAUAGGGCUGUCAAAAUUGAGAGCAACCAAAACAACUGCUGUGUAAUGCCCUCCGCUAUCUUAGUUUAAUUGGUCACAGGACUGCAUCACAACUAAAAUGUGUCAUUGUUUUCGAAAAGGCUCUGGGUUUGCUGUCCACACUGCAAAGUGAAAAUGGCAUUUUCAAAUGUAUCCAGUUUGGAGAGCAUUUUCAACCCUCUCAGUGUGGACGAAAGGCCGAAACGGAGAGAAAAAGAUGUUUUCAAACGAAAACGUAUUAGUGUGGACAUGGCCUGAAUUGCCUGCUCAGCAUGCAGUCAUGUUCUAUAGUCUUGCUAAUGACCUACUAAUUUUAUUCUGGUGUGUUGCAGCAGGGACACAUUUAAAAGUUUCAGGACACUGGCCCUCGAGUUUGACACCUGCGCUCUACAGGAAGCUGUGAGGCUGAUGCCGCCGGUCACACUUUAUGAAAAAUUGUGGUUCAGCGUCUGUCCACACGGGGGAGCUGCAGGAGGACUGAUAGACUGAAGAUCUGCUUUGUGGGCUGGACCUCUGCAGACACCAGAAUGAAAGCAGAACCUGCAUUUUGACUCUCACAGUGCCUCCCUGAGGUUUGACUGAGUCACAAUAGUUUAUGAUCCAGCUGCAUGUUGGAGGUCAAAGGUCAGCUGCUGGCUGUUAGAGGUCAGGUCUUUGGGUCAGUCUGAAUGUGACAAACACACUGCGUCACUUGCUGAGGAGUCGAGUCCCAGAUCAGUUCCAGACGCUAGCCCUCGAGCAGAGAGGGUUGGUGGUCUGUGCUGUGGCUCAAGUGCAGGUUGAGAUCACAAGAAGACCUGCGAGCUGCUGACGUUACACGUGUAUGACGAUGUGAAGAGAAGGAAGCUGAAUGCAGAGGUCAGUGUGACAGAGCGACAACAGGAAUGUGACAUCACACAGAUGUGUUUCUAAUGUGGCAGCACAGUUUUCACUUUAUUGUUUCUGACUGCAGGUGGCGCUCUCCGCCUCUGCCGCCGGGCCAUGUUACACCACAGUUCAAGAGGUGGGCGAUGAACGUGUCACAGGUGCAACUCACCUGACCUGACUACACCUGAGUGUGUGGUCAGGUGAGUCUGAGGAGGACCUGUGUCCGUCACAUGUCUGCUGGGACUCUGCAGACACACACGUGUUGAUGCAGAUGUAAAAACCUCGAUGUUUGGAAAUGCUGAGCUGGAUUUGAUACAAACCUUCUGCUGUUUUUAUUUUUGUUUCAUUCUUUAUUUUCUGUAACAGAAUGAAAUAAAUCAGGUUACAUUGUUUUCAUUUGUCAGUGAUGACAGUCAUGCACCUGAGGGCAUCAUCAAACUGUUUUAAUCUGUCCCAAACAUUUGCACAGAUGUAACAUUAUCUACAGCUGCUCUCAGUACCACUGAUGUUAAUUUAGGGUCUUUCUCUCCAGCUGAUCUGAGUUAACUUGAUUAACUACCACCAGCUGCUUCAGCCUGUUCUUUUCUGUAAUUCCACCUUGUAUCACAUGGUGGUGCAGUGAGUCACUGUAACUUUCAUUUAAUUAGAGUUUAUUUCCUGUAAACAAAUAUUAAAUGAUUUCUAAUCAGUUGCUUAAAUCGCUCUGUGAUUAGGCAUCCACAUUGAGCUCUGACAGCUGUACAAAUAGCGCUGUUCCUGAAGUCACACUGUGGUAUUUUGGUAAAUGCAGAUUAUUUCUCUCAGUCCUGCAAACAGGAAGCCGAAAACAGGAUUUUCAGGUCAUUAACUGAAGCAUGAAAACGUGCGGCCUCUCCUACUUCCUGUCAAACAAGAAGUCUGUCUCCACAUAGGAUUCCAGGAGCUCGGGAAUCUGAUGGCGCAUCUCUGCUUUGAAUUCUCGGCUUUGUGACAACAAUCACAAACCUUCAGAUUCUGUUUGCUGUCUUGACCCCAAAAAAGAUGGCUGCCACACAGAGGUUUCUCGGUUUUGAUGGGGCUAAUGAUCAGGUUUUGCAAACAAACAGAAAGUCAUUUAUGGAGCUGAUCUUUAGACCCGUUGAGGAAAAACCUGCUGCAGACACAGAC
ensembl:lncRNA